rnacentral:rRNA from 1 species
GAUGAACGCUAGCGGCAGGCUUAACACAUGCAAGUCGAGGGGUAUUGGUUUUCGGACCAAGAGACCGGCGCACGGGUGCGUAACGCGUAUGCAAUCUACCUUUUGCAGAGGGAUAGCCCCAGAGAAAUUUGGAUUAAUACCUCAUAGUAUAGUACUUUGGCAUCAAGGACUAUAAGUCGGACAACGGGCAAAGAUGAGCAUGCGUCCAUUAGCUAGUUGGUAAGGUAACGGCUUACCAAGGCUACGAUGGGUAGGGGUUCUGAGAGGGAGAUCCCCCACACUGGUACUGAGACACGGACCAGACUCCUACGGGAGGCAGCAGUGAGGAAUAUUGGACAAUGGGCGCAAGCCUGAUCCAGCCAUGCCGCGUGCAGGAUGACGGUCCUAUGGAUUGUAAACUGCUUUUAUACAGGAAGAAACACUCCGACGUGUCGGAGCUUGACGGUACUGUAAGAAUAAGGAUCGGCUAACUACGUGCCAGCAGCCG